UACGAAGGGGGGCUAGCGUUGUUCGGAAUUACUGGGCGUAAAGCGCGCGUAGGCGGCUUUGUAAGUUAGAGGUGAAAGCCCGGGGCUCAACCCCGGAACUGCCUUUAAGACUGCAUCGCUUGAAUCCAGGAGAGGUGAGUGGAAUUCCGAGUGUAGAGGUGAAAUUCGUAGAUAUUCGGAAGAACACCAGUGGCGAAGGCGGCUCACUGGACUGGUAUUGACGCUGAUGUGCGAAAGCGUGGGGAGCAAACAGG
rnacentral:rRNA from 1 species